CAGGAUGAACGCUGGUGCGUGCUUAACACAUGCAAGUCGAACGGAGUUUUAACGGAAGUUUCGGAUGGAAGUUUAGAAACUUAGUGGCGGACGGGUGAGUAACGCGUGGGUAACCUGCCUCAUACAGGGGGAUAACAGUUAGAAAUGACUGCUAACACCGCAUAAUAUAGCGAAACCGCAUGAUUUUGCUAUCAAAUAUUUAUAGGUAUGAGAUGGGCCCGCGUCUGAUUAGCUAGUUGGUGGGGUAAAAGCCUACCAAGGCGACGAUCAGUAGCCGGCUUGAGAGAGUGACCGGCCACAUUGGGACUGAGACACGGCCCAAACUCCUACGGGAGGCAGCAGUGGGGAAUAUUGGACAAUGGGGGAAACCCUGAUCCAGCGACGCCCGCGUGAGUGAAGAAGUAUUUCGGUAUGUAAAGCUCUAUCAGCAGGGAAGAUAAUGACAGUACCUGACUAAGAAGCCCGGCUAACUACGUGCCAGCAGCUGC
rnacentral:rRNA from 1 species